GACGAACGCUGGCGGCGUGCCUAAUACAUGCAAGUCGAACGCAGUGGGGACGGGUGAGUAACCCGUGGGUAACCUCCCAACAGAGGGGAUAACACUUGGAAACAGGUGCUAAACCGAUACUGAUGGAUGGACCCGCGGUGCAUUAGAUAGUUGGUGAGGUACCGGCUCACCAAGGCCACGAUGCAUAGCCGACCUGAGAGGAGAAUCGGCCACACUGGAACUGAGACACGGCACAGACUCCUACGGGAGGCAGCAGUAGGGAAUCUUCGGCAAUGGACGAAAUUCCGACCGAGCGACGCCGCGUGAGUGAAGAAGUUUUUCGGAUCGUAAAACUCUGUUGUUAGAGAAGAGGUAUCUCACCAGAAAGCCACGGCUAACUACAUGCCAGCAGCCGCGGUAAUUC
rnacentral:rRNA from 1 species